rnacentral:rRNA from 1 species
UACGAAGGGGGCUAGCGUUGUUCGGAAUUACUGGGCGUAAAGCGCGUGUAGGUGGUUGUCCAAGUUGGAUGUGAAAGCCUUGAGCUCAGCUCAAGAAAUGCAUUCAGGACUGGGCGACUAGAGGACCGGAGAGGAUAGUGGAAUUCCCAGUGUAGUGGUGAAAUACGUAGAGAUUGGGAAGAACACCAGUGGCGAAGGCGGCUAUCUGGACGGUUUCUGACACUAAGACGCGAAAGCGUGGGGAGCAAACAGG